GAAAUGCGAUAAGUAAUGUGAAUUGCAGAAUUCAGUGAAUCAUCGAAUCUCUGAACGCACAUUGCGCCCGCCAGCACUCUGGCGGGCAUGCCUGUUCGAGCGUCAUUUCAACCCUCAGAACCCCUUGCGGGAUCUGGCGUUGGGGAUUGGCAUCCAGCCAGCCCCGAAAUCUAGUGGCGGUCCCUCCGCGACCUCCCCUGUGCAGUAGCGAUACCUCGCAGCGGGACAGCGGUCUGACCACGCCGUAAAACCCCCAACUUCUCAAGGUUGACCUCGAAUCAGGUAGGAAAACCCGCUGAACUUAAGC
rnacentral:misc_RNA from 1 species